rnacentral:tRNA from 1 species
GAUGGUAUAGCUCAGUGGUAGAGAGCAUGCUUAGCAUAUACGAGGUCCUGGGUUCAGUCCCCAGUACCUCCU